CAACAAUAAAAUAUACAUGUCACUUCAAAUCUACUCAUGUACACAUAUAUAUAAUGCCCUUAAGGUGCCACGUAUAUAGUAUACGUGAAUGUUGUAAGUACUUGAAUUUGUACUCGUUUAUUAUUGUAUAUGUGCAACACAUAAAAAACCGGGUUUAAAAAUUGUACACACGCGUGCUGGGACGCACGUACUCUCUUUUAAUGCAGCCUGCUGCCCUGUCAGUUUUAUGGAGUUUAUUGUUUAUUUUUUUUUGGUACCAUUCGAUUUCAGUGUUUUUCCUGAUGUAUAUUUUUUUAAAGAAAGACAUUAACCCAUGUGUUAAACUGAAGACAUAUGUUGACGUUUUCAAUUAAUUCCCAGAAAUAUACAUAGGUCAACAUCGGCUCAGAUAUGUGACCCUAUACUAGAGUCUCUAGUGGGAUCAAACCCACGAACUCCGGACAGACAG